CAGUCACCCUUGUGUUGUGAUGAGGUGUGGAUAUGACUCUUGAUGUCGGGACUAAACGAAAAGAAGGCUGGUACUUGGCAGCCGUGUGUUUGUCAACCCUUCUCCGGGACCCUGCUGGGGCGUGUGACAAGGAUUUUCCAUCAGGAAGCCUCAAGAAAACGGAGGAAGGAAUGAGACGAAAUAGCAGGAACAGUGUGGCAGGAGUCAGAGCUCCACGCGCCAGCCUGCAGCGCGACAAGCCCCCAAGAGGGUGAAGAGACCGCUGACGGUGCGGCGGGUCAAGUACUCCACCUUGGAGGAUCCGUUCCUGAAGGCCGGGUUGUACAGCCGCUCCGUGGACACCAACCAGGAGCCCCCCACCAGCGCCGCCAGCAGGCUCACCCCGCUCACCCCCGCCGCCGCCCCCGUGCCCACCCACAGCACCUGAACACUCACGUCUGCACUCAGCAUAGCGACGCUCCCAAGGCUCUCUCUCUCCACCCUUGUAACAUGAAGUGGCGAGUGGUAGCCGCUCUCCAAUAAAGUUUGCCCGGCAGAAGGAGGCUAGAGGCGACAGUGGCGCGUGUAGCGCGGUGCGGGCAAGCAGCGCCACCAGACACCGCAGUGAAUUUGCACCAUCGCAAGUCAAAUGUGCGGCUCAUCAUCGCCAGUCACGCCGAGCGGCAGGAAGUGACGAGCAUCAGAGCGCCGUGCUGUGGCAUAUCAAAUGUGGCGGGCAGACAUCCCUCACCUUAUCCUGACAUCACUCACGCUAGGAGUAGGCGGCCUAAUGCAUCAAAGGAAUUGAGCUAUCACAUU